AGAUUGAACGCUGGCGGCAUGCCUUACACAUGCAAGUCGAACGGCAGCACGGGAGCAAUCCUGGUGGCGAGUGGCGAACGGGUGAGUAAUACAUCGGAACGUGCCCAGUUGUGGGGGAUAGCCCGGCGAAAGCCGGAUUAAUACCGCAUACGACCUACGGGUGAAAGCGGGGGAUCGCAAGACCUCGCGCUAUUGGAGCGGCCGAUGUCGGAUUAGCUUGUUGGUAGGGUAAAAGCCUACCAAGGCUACGAUCCGUAGCUGGUCUGAGAGGACGACCAGCCACACUGGGACUGAGACACGGCCCCAGACUCCUACGGGAGCGAGCAGGUGGGAAUUUGGACUAAGUGGGACGAAAGCCUGAUCCAGCCAUGCCGCGUGCGGGAAAGACGGUCCUUCGGGUUA
rnacentral:rRNA from 1 species